ACUGGGGCACCGAGAGGCGGCCGCGGACGACGGCGCGGGGGCCGGGGAGCAGGCGGCGGGCCGGGCGCGACCGCGGGGACACUCACCGUUUGGGGCGCGCGGGGCGGCCUCAUCCAGGGCACCUGCGGCCAGGCAGGACGGGCCCGGACGGCGCAGUCACCGACAGGGCGAGUCCGCCUGCCCUCCGUCUUAGGGAGAAGGAGAGGAAAGUGCUGAAUGGAGGGCGUGAGUGCCGAGUAGGAAAAUGUGAAUGAGUCUCUCCAGCGCCCUUCAGCAUGGAGCCACCCAGUUAGCAAGUUCCAAGAUCCACGGGAAACCGGGCACCUCCUGCAAUUCAAGUAUUCCUAUCCCCGCCCCCAGCUGCCACAAAAAUGACUCACAAAUCGGAGGGAGGGGUGUCGGUCUCCGUCGUUUUGUCUGCAUUUUAUAUGGAAGGGCCCCCUCCCUGGAAAUGGCUGAAAGGGUGGAGGAAGAGAAGCAUAGUUCACGCCUGCAAGGGCUCUUCCCGCUGGCUUUUUUUUUUUUUUUUUUUUUGGUAGACAGUGUCUUCCUGUGUUGCCCAAGCUAAUCUCGAACUCCUGGGUUCCAGGGAUCCUCCUACCCCGGCCUCCCCUCCCAAAGUGCUGGGGUUACAGGCGUGAACCACCAUGCCCGGCCCCACUAGUGUUUUAGAAACCUUGUCGUCGUUCACAAACGUACCGGUCACUUCUUAAGUGUUAGACAUAACCUUGAUCAUGUUCCAGCGCCUCAACUUAAUAAACCAAAAAGCUCUCCUGUGAGACUGUCUAGCUCUCAUCCUUUAUUUCAAUUCAUCCCUCAAGUACUGGCUAAGUUAUU
rnacentral:lncRNA from 10 species